UGUAAUUUCUGGGACACCAGGGGGAAGGUAUUUGCAUGAGUUAAUUAUUGACAGGGUUGCUUGGGCUCCAUCCCGGCUAAACGCUUCCUGACAAACACUCCUGAAAGCUCACAACUCCUGCUUGAGCUCAUAACGUGGAAACUGC